rnacentral:rRNA from 1 species
CCUACGGGAGGCAGCAGUGGGGAAUAUUGGACAAUGGGCGAAAGCCUGAUCCAGCAAUGCCGCGUGUGUGAAGAAGGCCUUCGGGUUGUAAAGCACUUUAAGUUGGGAAGAAAAAGCUCUGGCUAAUAUCUAGAGCCUUGACGGUACCAACAGAAUAAGCACCGGCUAACUCUGUGCCAGCAGCCGCGGUAAUACAGAGGGUGCUAGCGUUAAUCGGAUUUACUGGGCGUAAAGCGUGCGUAGGCGGUUUGAUAAGUCGAUUGUGAAAGCCCCGGGCUUAACCUGGGAAUUGCAGUUGAUACUGUCAGACUAGAAAACGGUAGAGGGAGGCGGAACUCCAGGUGUAGCGGUGAAAUGCGUAGAUAUCUGGAAGAACACCGAUGGCGAAGGCAACCUCCUGGGCCUGUUUUGACGCUGAGGCACGAAAGCGUGGGUAGCAAACAGGAUUAGAUACCCUGGUAGUCCACGCCGUAAACGAUGAGAACUUGACGUUGGUUUGCUUAGCAAAUCGGUGUCGUAGCUAACGCGAUAAGUUCUCCGCCUGGGGAGUACGGCCGCAAGGUUGAAACGUCAAAUGAAUUGACGG